rnacentral:lncRNA from 1 species
GGAGCAACCAGGGGCAGAGCAGCUGCGAGGGGCCCUCAGCGGCCUGUCCACCUCCUGGCCCUGGGAUGGUGCUUCCCACCGGCGGGCACGCAUAGCGGUCGGAGAUGGUGGCAGACAUGGCGCUCUUCUUCGUGGUUGCUGGAUUGCUGACGGCAGCUCUCUCAGGUCACCCAUCUCCGACCCCAUCUGACCAGCCCAACACCACCAGGGCAGAGAGCCAGACCUUGCAACCAGGGGAGCGACUCCAGGUCCGUCUGGUGAAUGGGAGCAGCCGCUGCGACGGGACAGUGGAGGUCUGGUUCCAGCAGUCGUGGCAGCCCGUGUGCGGGGCGCUCUGGGAGCUCAAUGCCUCCCACGCCCUGUGCAGCUCGCUGGACUGUGGCCAGGCUCACCAGCUGGAACUGCCGGUCCUGCAGACCCCGGAGCCGCCGCCCUGGGGAGCCGAGUGGAAUGCCAGCUGGGCCCCGACCACCACAGGGGCCCUGGCCCCCGCCGUCCAGUGCAGCGGCCCCGAAUGGCUGAGCUGCAAGGUGGUGGAGCGCGACUGCCGCAGCGACGAGCGGCCCGCCCAGGUCAACUGUACAGAAAAACGCGAUUUGAAAUUGGUGGGUGGUGGCAGCCCAUGUGAGGGCCGCGUGGAGAUGCUGCAGCACGGCCAGUGGGGUUCGGUGUGUGACGACACGUGGGACCUGGAGGAUGCUCACGUGGUGUGCCGGCAGCUGGGCUGCGGCUGGGCCGUCCAGGCCCUGCCCGGCUUGCACUUCGCCCCUGGCCAAGGACGCAUCCACUGGGACCAAGUGAACUGCACUGGGUUGGAGACCUACCUGUGGGACUGCCCGGGGCUGCCCGGAAAUGGGUACUGUGGCCACAAGGAGGACGCUGGAGUGGUGUGUUCAGAGCACCAGUCCUGGCGCCUGACCGGGGGCACUGACCCCUGCGAGGGGCAGGUGGAGGUGUACUUCCGAGGGGUCUGGAACACAGUGUGUGACAGUGAGUGGUACGACUCAGAGGCCAACGUGCUCUGCCAGGACUUGGGCUGUGGGACCGUGGCCCGGGUGCCCAAGGGGCUGCCCCACUCCUUGUCGGGCAAGAUGUACUACUCAUGCAAGGGAAGGGAGUCCACCCUCUCCAAAUGCUUCUGGCGGUUCAACAACUCCAACCUCUGCAGACAGUCCCAGGCAGCCAGGGUCCUCUGCUCAGGUGCCCGGAGUCUGCUCAAUCUGUCCACUACUGAAGUCCCUGCAAGUGGUCAGCCAGUCACUGUGGAAUCUUCUGUGAUGGUGAAAACAAAGGACUGGGAAUCUCGAGAGCUAAUGCUCCUCAUCCCCUGCAUCAUUCUGGGAAUUCUCCUUCUCAUCUCACUUGUUUUCAUAGCCAUCAUCCUCUUGAGAAUUAAAGGAAAAUACGCCCUCCCUGCUGUGGUAAACCACCAGCACUCACCCACCACCACCCCGGCAGGGAUGGAAAACUAUCAAGAGGUCCCCAUCACCAUCGCCAAAGAAGUUCCCAAGCUGCCCAUCCAGGUCCAGGCCCCGCCCCCCGAAGACUGGCAUUCCAGCUCGGACUCAGACUAUGAGCACUAUGACUUCAGAACCCAGCCUCCUGUGGCCCUGACCACCUUCUACAAUUCCCAGCGGCACCGCUUCACAGAGGAGGAGGCCCAGCAGAACAGGUUCCAGAUGCCCCCCCUGGAGGAAGGCCCAGGACUGGAAGAGGUGCAUGCCUCCGAAGUUCCACCUGCCAACCCUGAACACUGCAUUGCACACCCUCCCUCCCGGGACCUUCCCCCACGGAGCAAAAGCAGCUCCAGCACAUCUUCGGGGGAGGUGUAUUGUAACAGCCCCAACAGCAAGCGACCUCUGUGGAGCUCUCAAGUGUUUUCAACAGAGAGGAACCCCCUCCUGGAGCAGCCCCCCAACUUGGAGCUGGUUGGCUCCCAGGCAACUAUUCCAGGGCCCUCAGCUGAUGACAGCUCCAGCACCUCCUCUGGCGAGUGGUACCAGAACUACAAGCUGCCGCCGCAGCCCCUUUCUGCUGAGCAGUUUGGAUGUCCAGGGUCCCGUGCUCCCCAGCCUGACUUCUCCUCUGAUGAAGAAUAUGAUGACAUCGGAGCAGCCUAGCCAGGGUUCAGCUCUGUGUGCUCCCUCUCUCCAGACUCCUGCUCUGCAUACUCCCUCUGCUCCAUGCCCCACCCCUCCAUCCUCCCCAAUCAUCCCCAAGGGGCUGAUAGUCCUCCCC